AAGUCGAGCGAACAGACGAGGAGCUUGCUCCUCUAACGUUAGCGGCGGACGGGUGAGUAACACGUGGAUAACCUACCUAUAAGACUGGGAUAACUUCGGGAAACCGGAGCUAAUACCGGAUAAUAUAUUGAACCGCAUGGUUCAAUAGUGAAAGACGGUUUUGCUGUCACUUAUAGAUGGAUCCGCGCCGCAUUAGCUAGUUGGUAAGGUAACGGCUUACCAAGGCAACGAUGCGUAGCCGACCUGAGAGGGUGAUCGGCCACACUGGAACUGAGACACGGUCCAGACUCCUACGGGAGGCAGCAGUAGGGAAUCUUCCGCAAUGGGCGAAAGCCUGACGGAGCAACGCCGCGUGAGUGAUGGAGGUCUUCGGAUCGUAAAACUCUGUUAUUAGGGAAGAACAAAUGUGUAAGUAACUAUGCACGUCUUGACGGUACCUAAUCAGAAAGCCACGGCUAACUACGUGCCAGCAGCCGCGGUAAUACGUAGGUGGCAAGCGUUAUCCGGAAUUAUUGGGCGUAAAGCGCGCGUAGGCGGUUUUUUAAGUCUGAUGUGAAAGCCCACGGCUCAACCGUGGAGGGUCAUUGGAAACUGGAAAACUUGAGUGCAGAAGAGGAAAGUGGAAUUCCAUGUGUAGCGGUGAAAUGCGCAGAGAUAUGGAGGAACACCAGUGGCGAAGGCGACUUUCUGGUCUGUAACUGACGCUGAUGUGCGAAAGCGUGGGGAUCAAACAGGAUUA
rnacentral:rRNA from 1 species